GAGGAUGGAGGCUGAGGCCGCCUGUUGAGUCACAGUUUCCCUGUGAUGCUCAUUUUAACCAGAUGGCACUUGCUUAGCAGUUUGGAGGAGAAGACCUGUUCCCCUGCAGGUAUGGGCCUUUGGGAUCAUUACCCUCUCCAGAUCUGGCAGCUCCAUCAGGUGGUGGCUCUUUCUCCAAACGUCCUUGACAGCUUUAGUGCUCCUCCUUCUACUGUGCCCUCUGAAAUGGGGUUUCUCCAUGUUGCCUGGUCUGGUCUUGAACUCCUGGGCUCAAACGAUCUGUCCAUCUUGGCUUCCCAAAACCUGAAGCCAGGCCAGCCUUCCAUGAUUAGACCUCAACUCAUGAGAACUCUUGCCUUGCUCACAAGUGGGAGUAAAUGCUCAUAGCUCUAGAAAUCUCCCAGGAACCAGACAUCACGGAAACUAGAAAGGCUAAGGGAGUCCAAUCUUCCUCUAAAUUGGCCAACAGUAGAGUGGUGGAAAGAGAACAAGCUGCAAACCAGACAGACCCAAGCUUGAAUCUCACCUCUGCCAAGCUACCAGGGACCUACCCCGAACUUUCAUGAACCCCUGGUAGCUGAAUAGCAGCUUGUCUAAGCGAGGUGCAGGGAUUUUGUCAAAGUCGGCCUCGGUGUUAAAGGCAGGGCCACCUACCAUGAACUUCUCUCUGUGACUUUAUUCUUUAGCAGUGCUCAAGUGUAAAUAAACUUGUUUACCAGGAUCAGAAUGGCCAUGUUAAUGAAGUCUUAUUUGUGUCACCACAAUGACAAGUAAUUUGUGCACAGCUGGACUCGGAGAGGGGACAAAACCAGAGAAAUUGUAUUUCUGUUCUGAAGUUUCCAUACAGAUGCCUUAGGCCAAAGUUAGUACAGCCAAUAUUUGCCUGUUUCUUUGGAUUGUGUGUCCAUGCUGGAGAAAAGCCUUGUUACUGUGCCCAGUGUGGUAAACGAAAUUAUAUGUACGCAGUGAGAAGAAAAAUGAAAUAAGAAGCACUGAUGAAUGUACCCACGGGUGUGACCUUGGGGGCCAGUGUGUGGUUUUUAUGAAAUGAACGCAUGAAUACGAGGACCCUAAUUAUUGCUUUCAACGGACAAAGUAUGGUGAAUAUAUAGAGAACGUUGCUGUACAACACUGGCUGUGUCUCAAAGCGGCUUUAGAAGUAAAUAUAGAAAUUCUUUGGUACAUGGUAUUGCAUAGAAAAGUCAUUAAGAAAAAAGCAAGACAAUUUGUUAAGACCUUGUUAAGUGGAGCUGGGGGAUGAUUAAUUUUGUUUGUUUGUUUUUGUUGUUCCCUGGUAGAGCUCAACAAACUACAGACCACGGGCCAAAUCUGACCCACCGCUGCUUUUGUAAAUAAAACUUUAUUGGAAAAAA
ensembl:lncRNA LUNAR1 leukemia-associated non-coding IGF1R activator RNA 1